GUUUAUCAAAAACAUGUCUUUUUGAAUUUAAUUUAAAGUCUAACCUGCCCACUGAAGUUUUAAAUGGCCGCAGUAUUUUAACUGUGCAAAGGUAGCAUAAUCAUUAGUCUUUUAAUUGAAGGCUGGAAUGAAUGGUUGAAUGAGAUAUUAACUGUUUCAUAUAAAUUAAUAAUAAAAUUUUAUUUUUUAGUUAAAAAGCUAAAAUUUGAUUAAAAGACGAGAAGACCCUAUAAAUCUUUAUAUUUAAUUUUAUAGCUAUUAUAUUGAUUAUUUAAAUUUUUAUAAAAUUAAAUAUUUUAUUGGGGUGAUAUUAAAAUUUAAAUAACUUUUAAUUUAAAUAAUACAAAAAUUAUUGAAUUAUUGAUCCAUAAAUAAUGAUUAGGAAAUUAAGUUACUUUAGGGAUAACAGCGUAAUUUUUUUAGAGAGUUCAUAUUAAUAAAAAAGUUUGCGACCUCGAUGUUGGAUUAAGAUAAAAUUUAGGUGAAGAAG
rnacentral:rRNA from 1 species